AGUGAACGCUGGCGGUAGGCCUAACACAUGCAAGUCGAACGGCAGCACAGUAAGAGCUUGCUCUGACGGGUGGCGAGUGGCGGACGGGUGAGGUAUACAUCGGAAUCUACUUUUUCGUGGGUGAUAACGUAGGGAAACUUACGCUAAUACCGCAUACGACCUACGGGUGAAAGCAGGGGAUCUUCGGACCUUGCGCGAUUGAAUGAGCCGAUGUCGGAUUGGCUAGUUGGCGGGGUAAAGGCCCACCAAGGCGACGCUCCGUAGCUGGUCUGAGAGGAUGAUCAGCGACACUGGAACUGAGACACGGUACAGACUCCUACGGGAGGCAGCAGUGGCGAAUAUUGGACGAUGGGCGCAAGCCUGAUCCAGCCAUACCGCGUGGGUGAAGAAGGCCUUCGGGUUGUAAAGCCCUUUUGUUGGGAAAGAAAAGCAGCAGGUUAAUACCCCGCUGUUCUGACGGUACCCAAAGAAGAAGCACCGGCUAACUUCGUG
rnacentral:rRNA from 1 species